rnacentral:rRNA from 1 species
AUUCCAGCUCCAAUAGCGUAUAUUAAAGUUGUUGCAGUUAAAAAGCUCGUAGUUGAAGCCAAGGAAAACAGACUAGAGAAAAAUCUCAGGUCUGUAUUUCCAUUUCUCGCAAAGACGCCUAUGCAUAUUAAUUUAUGUGUAGGUUGAGUUGCGUCGUUUACUGUGAACAAAUUAGGGUGUUUAAAGCAAGCCUAUGUUUGAAUACACUAGCAUGGAAUAAUAAGAUAUGACCAAAGUAGUAUUUUGUUGGUGACCACUGUGGUAAUGAUUGAAAGAAACUGUUGUGGGUAUUCGUAUGAGCAUGUCAGAGGUGAAAUUCUUGGAUUUUGAUCAGACGAACUACUGCGAAAGCAUUUACCAAGGAUGUUUUCAUCA